ACAACUUUCAACAACGGAUCUCUUGGCUCUCACAUCGAUGAAGAACGCAGCGAAAUGCGAUAAGUAAUGUGAAUUGCAGAAUUCAGUGAAUCAUCGAAUCUUUGAACGCACCUUGCGCUCCUUGGUAUUCCAAGGAGCAUGCCUGUUUGAGUGUCAUUAAA
rnacentral:rRNA from 1 species